AGUGAACGCUGGCGGUAGGCCUAACACAUGCAAGUCGAACGGCAGCACAGUAAGAGCUUGCUCUUACGGGUGGCGGGUGGCGGACGGGUGAGGAAUACAUCGGAAUCUACUUUUUCGUGGGGGAUAACGUAGGGAAACUUACGCUAAUACCGCAUACUACCUACGGGUGAAAGCAGGGGAUCUUCGGACCUUUCGCGAUUGAAUGAGCCGAUGUCGGAUUAGCUAGUUGGCGGGGUAAAGGCCCACCAAGGCGACGAUCCGUAGCUGGUCUGAGAGGAUGAUCAGCCACACUGGAACUGAGACACGGUCCAGACUCCUACGGGAGGCAGCAGUGGGGAAUAUUGGACAAUGGGCGCAAGCCUGAUCCAGCCAUACCGCGUGGGUGACGAAGGCCUUCGGGUUGUAAAGCCCUUUUGUUGGGAAAGAAAAGCAGCAGGUUAAUACCCCGCUGUCCUGACGGUACCCAAAGAAUAAGCACCGGCUAACUUCGUG
rnacentral:rRNA from 1 species